UAAUCGGCGCAGGGUUAGCCGGCCCCUAAGACGAGCCCGAAGGGGGUAGUCGAUGGGAACCACGUAAAUAUUCGUGGGCCUGGAGAUGUGUGACGGAUCGUGGAAGUUGUUCGACCUUAUUGGAUUGGUCGGGCAGCCAAGCGGUUCCAGGAAAUAGCCUCUCCGUAUAGACCGUACCCGAAACCGACACAGGUGGUCAGGUAGAGUAUACCAAGGCGCUUGAGAGAAGUAUCCUGAAGGAACUCGGCAAAUUGCCUCCGUACCUUCGGAAGAAGGAGGCCCCAUAUCGACGCAAGUCUUUGUGGGUGGCACAGGCCAGGGGGUAGCGACUGUUUAGCAAAAACACAGCACUCUGCUAAGUCGGCUUCAAGACGACGUAUAGGGUGUGACGCCUGCCCGGUGCUCGAAGGUUAAGAGGAGGAGUGCAAGCUCCGAAUUGAAGCCCGAGUAAACGGCGGCCGUAACUAUAACGGUCCUAAGGUAGCGAAAUUCCUUGUCGGGUAAGUUCCGACCUGCACGAAUGGCG
rnacentral:ncRNA from 1 species